GACGAACGCUGGCGGCGUGCCUAAUACAUGCAAGUUGAGCGAUGAAGAUUGGUGCUUGCACCAAUUUGAAGAGCAGCGAACGGGCGAGUAACGCGUGGGGAAUCUGCCUUUGAGCGGGGGACAACAUUUGGAAACGAAUGCUAAUACCGCAUAACAACUUUAAACAUAAGUUUUAAGUUUGAAGGAUGCAAUUGCAUCACUCAAAGAUGAUCCCGCGUUGUAUUAGCUAGUUGGUGAGGUAAAGGCUCACCAAGGCGAUGAUACAUAGCCGACCUGAGAGGGUGAUCGGCCACAUUGGGACUGAGACACGGCCCAAACUCCUACGGGAGGCAGCAGUAGGGAAUCUUCGGCAAUGGACGAAAGUCUGACCGAGCAACGCCGCGGGAGUGAAGAAGGUUUUCGGAUCGUAAAACUCUGUUGGUAGAGAAGAACGUUGGUGAGAGUGGAAAGCUCAUCAAGUGACGGUAACUACCCAGAAAGGGACGGCUAACUACGUG
rnacentral:rRNA from 1 species